rnacentral:rRNA from 1 species
AAUAAGAUACCCGGGUACGUCCACGCCGUAAACGAUAGAAUACUAGGUGUAGGAGGUAUCGACCCCUUCUGUGCCGCAGUUAACACAAUAAGUAUUCCGCCUGGGGAGUACGAUCGCAAGAUUAAAACUCAAAGGAAUUGACGGGGGCCCGCACAAGCAGCGGAGCAUGUGGUUUAAUUCGAAGCAACGCGAAGAACCUUACCUAGACUUGACAUCUCCUGAAUUACCCUUAACCGGGGUAAGCCCUUCGGGGCAGGAAGACAGGUGGUGCAUGGUUGUCGUCAGCUCGUGUCGUGAGAUGUUGGGUUAAGUCCCGCAACGAGCGCAACCCUUAUCAUUAGUUGCUACCAUUAAGUUGAGCACUCUAGUGAGACUGCCACGGUUAACGUGGAGGAAGGUGGGGAUGACGUCAAAUCAUCAUGCCCCUUAUGUCUAGGGCUACACACGUGCUACAAUGGUGAGUACAAAGAGAUGCAAUACCGUGAGGUGGAGCCAAACUCAAAAACUCAUCCCAGUUCGGAUUGUAGGCUGAAACUCGCCUAC